rnacentral:rRNA from 1 species
GACGAACGCUGGCGGCGUGCCUAACACAUGCAAGUCGAGCGAAUGAAGUUCCUUCGGGAAUGGAUUUAGCGGCGGACGGGUGAGUAACACGUGGGCAACCUGCCUCAUAGAGGGGAAUAGCCUCCCGAAAGGGAGAUUAAUACCGCAUAAGAUUGUAGUACCGCAUGAUACAGCAAUUAAAGGGGCAAUCCGCUAUGAGAUGGGCCCGCGGCGCAUUAGCUAGUUGGUGAGGUAAUGGCUCACCAAGGCGACGAUGCGUAGCCGACCUGAGAGGGUGAUCGGCCACAUUGGGACUGAGACACGGCCCAGACUCCUACGGGAGGCAGCAGUGGGGAAUAUUGCACAAUGGGGGAAACCCUGAUGCAGCAACGCCGCGUGAGUGAUGACGGCCUUCGGGUUGUAAAGCUCUGUCUUCAGGGACGAUAAUGACGGUACCUGAGGAGGAAGCCACGGCUAACUACGUG